rnacentral:rRNA from 1 species
AUUGAACGCUGGCGGCAUGCCUAACACAUGCAAGUCGAACGGCAGCACAGCAGUAGCAAUACUGUGGGUGGCGAGUGGCGGACGGGUGAGUAAUGCAUCGGGACCUACCCAGACGUGGGGGAUAACGUAGGGAAACUUACGCUAAUACCGCAUACGUCCUACGGGAGAAAGCAGGGGAUCUUCGGACCUUGCGCGGUUGGACGGACCGAUGUGCGAUUAGCUAGUUGGUAAGGUAAUGGCUUACCAAGGCGACGAUCGCUAGCUGGUCUGAGAGGAUGAUCAGCCACACUGGAACUGAGACACGGUCCAGACUCCUACGGGAGGCAGCAGUGGGGAAUAUUGGACAAUGGGCGCAAGCCUGAUCCAGCAAUGCCGCGUGUGUGAAGAAGGCCUUCGGGUUGUAAAGCACUUUUAUCGGGAGCGAAAUACCAUGGGUUAAUAACCGGUGGGGCUGACGGUACCCGAGGAAUAAGCACCGGCUAACUUCGUG